rnacentral:rRNA from 1 species
AAUGAACGCUGGCGGCGUGCCUAACACAUGCAAGUCGUACGAGAAAUCCCGAGCUUGCUUGGGAGAGUAAAGUGGCGCACGGGUGAGUAACGCGUGGGGUAACCCACCUUCGAAUCUGGGAUAACUCCGCGAAAGCGGUGCUAAUACCGGAUAAGAACCACAGCCGUUUCGGCGGCAGAGGUAAAAGCUGACCUCUCCAUGGAAGUUAGCGUUCGAGGACGGGCCCGCGUCCUAUCAGCUUGGUUGGUGGGGUAAAGGCCUACCAAGGCAGCGACGGGUAGCUGGUCUGAGAGGAUGAUCAGCCACACUGGAACUGGAACACGGUCCAGACUCCUACGGGAGGCAGCAGUGAGGAAUUUUGCGCAAUGGGGGAAACCCUGACGCAGCAACGCCGCGUGGGUGAAGAAGGCUUUCGGGUCGUAAAGCCCUGUCAGGUGGGAAGAACCGUUUCGAUACUAAUAAUGUCGAAGCCUGACGGUACCACCAGAGGAAGCACCGGCCAACUCCGUG